rnacentral:tRNA from 6 species
GCCGCCGUAGCUCAGUGGUAGAGCGCUCCCUUGGUAAGGGCGAGGUCGUGGGUUCAAAUCCCAUCGGUGGCU